CGAAGCUGAUGGCCUAGUGUCACCUGCUGGAUAGAGGUGAAAACACAAAGCAAACAAUGUCUCUUUCAUCUGUUUCACAGCAUGCACGGGAACUGGAAACUCGCCGAAGGGAGGCAGAGGAGAGAGAGCGGAGGAAGCAGAGGGAGGUGCAGCUGGAACUGGAAAGACAGCUGAAAGAGGCUGUGAUGAUAAAAGACAGCAUGCAGGCUGAGAUGCAGGUGAAGGAAAAGGAGGCUGAACAACAGAAGAAGAGGAUCAGGGAGCUGGAGCUGACACAGCAGCAGCUGGAAGUUGCCCUUAAUAUGGAGAUCCAGGCUCGGCUGGAGGAGGAGAGGGCCAGACUGGAGCUUGAGCGGUUGCUGCAGGCUGAAGAUGAAAAGAGGAAACAUUUCCAGCUCCUCCAGGAGCAGCAACGUACAAUGCAAAACCUCAGCCCCAUACAGGAGCUGUCAGAUGGCAGUCCCGAUGAGGACACCCCCUCAGCCCUAAACUCUGCCUCUCAGGAGCUCCAGGAUCUGCAGGCAUCUCGCCAAAGAAGUCACCAGCGUCUGGAG
ensembl:lncRNA